rnacentral:lncRNA from 1 species
GCUCCCACGGCAUAUGGAGGUUCCCAGGCUAGGGGUCUAAUCGGAGCUGUAGCCACCAGCCUAUGCCACAGCCACAGCAACACAGGAUCCAAGCUGUGUCUGUGACCCACACCACAGCUCACGGCAAUGCCGGAUCCUUAACCCACUGAGCAAGGCCAGGGAUCAAACCUGCAACCUCAUGGUUCCUAGUUGGAUUUAUUAACCACUGAGCCACAAUGGGAACUCCAAGAUGGUAGAUCUUAUGUUAAGUGUUAUUUCCAGAAAAAAGAAAAGAAAAGAAAGAACAAUAAUAACAGAGGAGGUGGGAGGAAGCUUCAGGAGGUGAUGGAUAUGUUUGUGGCCUUGAUGUGGGGGAUGGUUUCCUGGGUACAUAUUUAUCUUCAAAUUCGUCAAGUUGUAUACAUUAAAUAGGUUCAAAUUUACGAGUCAAUCGUGUCUCAAUAAAGUGGUUUUAAAAAAAAAAAACUACUGAUGAGAAGUGAGAUAUCUUCCAGCUUUUCAGGGAAGAAAGGAACAGGUCACAGCUAUGACUCAGCUUCGAUCCCUGGCCCAGGAACUUCCACAUGCCACACGUGCAACCAUUAAAAAAAAAAAAAAAAAAAAAAACACUUUACCAGGUUAAUUUUGUCCUGUCUCUCUCUCUUUUUUUUUUUUUUUGGCUUUUUAGGGCCGCAUCUGUAGCAUAUGGAGGUUCCCAGGCUAGGGGGCCAAUUGGAGCUGUUGCUGCCAGCCUACACCACAGCCACAGCAACGCCAGAUCUGAACCAUAUCUGCGAUCUACACCACAGCUCACGGCAACAUCAGAUCCUUAACUCACUGAGCAAGGCCAGGGAUCAAACCCACAAGGAUGGAAACUCCAAUUUUAUUCUAUCUUUUAAGCUUUACUUACAGCACUUUUGCUGCACAAAAGUUUUACAUGUUAGCCAGCUUUAUUAAUCCAUUUUUGCCUUAUCUUACCUUUUGUGACAAGCUUAAAAGAAUCUACUACACAAUUAUUAAGAUAGCCAUCCAAUUUCUUUUUCACAUCUUUAAAUAUCUGUUCCUCUGAAACUUGCAUGGAUGACAUAGCGGGGACCAGCCUCAAGAUUUCUGCCUGGCGGAGUAACCCAACACCUCCCCACUGGCCUGAAAAGCCAUCUCCUUUCCGUGUUGUCCUUUCUUCGGCUUUCCAGUCUUUUCCACCGCCUCCCCCUCUCUGUACUUUGGCCACGAGAGCUGGGACAUUUUGUAUUGUCCUACAGAGCAUCUCUCUGACUCCUCUUCUCUUUCAAAAUUUUCAUGGACUUUCUAGCAUAUUUGUUCAUCCAACCAAACUUUUACAUUCAAUCAUGAUAAAAAGCAAAAUGUUGAAACUUUAGAAUUUGCAUACACAGUGUUAUAAUAAAGUUUCCCCGAAACAGUGUGUAGAACAGAAAUCAGCAUUUUCUUUCUGUAAAGAGUCAAAUAGUGAAUAUUUUAGUCUUUGCAGGCUGUAUGUUCCGGUCACAGCUCAACUCUGGCAUUGAAGUUCAAAAGCACUGUAGAUGGUAAAUAAAUGGGUGUAGACUUUUUGAUGAUGGCCAUUCUGACGGGUGUGAGGUGGUACUUCACAGUAGUUUUAAUUUGCAUUUCUCUAAUAAUGAGCAAUGUUGAGCCUCUUUUCAUGUGCUUUUUUGGCCAUCUGUCUUCUUUGGAGAAAUGUCUAUUUAGAUCUAUUGACCAUUUUUGAUUGGGUGGUUUGGUGUAAUAAAUUAAGCUGCAUGAGACGUUUGUGCAUUUUAGAGAUUAGUCCCUUGUCAGUUGUUGCAUUUGCAAAGAUUUUUUUCCCAUCCUUUGGGUUGUCUUCUUUUUUUAUGGUUUCCUUUGCUGUGCAAAAGCUUUUGAUUAAUUAGGUCCCAAAUGUUUAUUUUUGUUUUUAUUUUCAUUCACUCUAGGAGGUGAAUCCAAAAAGAGAAUGCUGUGAUUUAUGUCGAAGAGUGUUCUGCCUAUGUUUUCUUCUAAGAGUUUUAUAGUGUCUCGUCUUAUAUUUCGGAAUUUAACACGUUUUUAGUUUAUUUUUGUGCAUGGUGUUAGAGAGCAGUGUAACUUCAUUCUUUUACAUGUAGCGCUCCAGUUUUCCCAGCACCACUUAUUGAAGACACUGUCUUUUCUCCACUGUAUGUUCUUGCUUCCUUUGUUAUAGAUUAAUUGACCAUAGGUGUGUGGAUUUAUUUAUGGACUUUCUAUCCUAUUCCACUGAUAGUAUACUUCUGUUUUUGUGCCAGAACCAUACUUUUUUGAUGACUGCAGCUUUGCAAUCUGAAGUUAAAGAGCCCGAUUCCUCCAGUUCCAUUUUUUUAGGAUUGCUUUGGCUAUUUAGGGUCUUUUGUGUUUCCAUACAGAUUUUAAAAGUUUAUAAACAAUAACUUUUGGAGAGGGUGUGGAGAACAGGGAGCCCUCCUAUACUGUUGGUGGGAAUGUAAAUUGAUGCAGCCACUAUGGAGGACAGUAUGGAGUUUCUUUAACAAACUUAAUAUAGAACCCCCAUAUUAUCUAUAUAUUUAUUUAGAGAAAACCAUAAUUCAAAAAGAUAUGUGCACCCUAACUUUCAUUACUGCACUAUUUACAAUAGCCAAGACAUGGAAGCCACCUAAAUAUGGAUAUAUAGGAAUGGAUAACAAAGAUGUGGUACAUAUAUACACUGGAAUAUUACUCAGCCAUAAAAAAGAACAAAAUAAUGCCAUCUGCAGCAACAUAGAUGGACCUAGAGAUUAUAAUAGUAAGUGAAGUAAGUCAGACAAAGAAAAAUAUCAUAUGAUAUCACUAAUAUGUGGAAUCUAAUUUAAAAUGAUACAACAGAACACAUUUACAAAAGAGCAAGAGGCUCUAAGAUUUCAAAACUAAACUUAUGAUUACCAAAGGGGAAACACUGGGGAAAGGGAUAAACUGGGAAUUGAGGAUUGAAAUACACACAUUACCAUAUAUAUAAUUGGUAAGUAAUAUGAACCUACUGUAGAGCACAGGAAAAUCUACUCAAUACUCUGUAAUAACCUAUAUGGGAAAAGAAUCUGAAAAAAAUGUAUAUGUAUAUAUAUAUCUGAUUUAUUUUACUGUACAUCUGAAACUAACACAUUGUAAAUAACUAUAUCCCAAUAAAAUUCAAUUAAAAAAUAAAAUAAAAACACUGUGCACUAAGAAAACCCAUCCAUGGGUGUGGAUGGGAGGGAAGAGAGCUAGCAUCUCGAACAUUUGACUGCCAUUCCCUGUCCUAAUUCAUGGUCCAGACAGACUAACACCCAGGUAUUUGCCUCUGAGACCAAUACCCUUUGCAUAAAAGUCAUAUUUAGAGCCACAGUGACUCUGUGGGAACCCUCCUCUCCCUCUAAAUAAUUCGCAGUUGCUUGAAACGUACAUCUAAGAAGAAAGAUACAUCAACCAAAGGGAAAAGGAAAGCCUGUAAGAGAAUGCUUGAGAGCUAUGGCCUGGGUGAUGAUGGGUCAGCAGCCAGGACAUAGGGCACAGAGGCAUCUGCUUCUACCCACCAGCACCUUCCCCAGGCCCUGACUUCCUCCUGCUCCCACGUUGGCACAGGGUCUUGGGAGGCCAGGGGCCAGGUCUGCAGCUGGAGCCUUCCAGGCCCACUGGAAUAAGAUGGGAGCUGGUGAGGGUGAGACCUGGCCAAGCAACCACAAGUCCAGGGCUCCAUCUUCUCUCUGAACCACCAGCCCCCUCCAGCACACCCCCCUGCCCCCCCACCGCCACCCUGUGUUCACUCAUUCAAACCUAGUGUAGUUGUGCUCUCUGAGCCAGGCCGUGCUGGGGCCUGGUGCUGAGCAGAACAGGCCAGCCCCUGGGCCUCAUCCAGCUUCUUGCCUGUACUUGCAGGUACUCAGUCUGGGUCCACCACUUGAGAGCUGUCAGAAAAGCAGAACCCCAGCCCCCGCCCCACGACCACUGAGCCAGAAUCUUCGCUUUACACCAUCCCAGGCAAUUUGAAUGCAUAUUCAAGUUUGGGAUACGCUGGUUUAGACACUCAUUUCCAUCAUUGAGGAUCAGACUGGGGUCUCCAAAGACAUGUAAGGUGGGCUCCCUGCCCUUGACUUUCAUGAGAGCUGGUGUUGGAGAAAAUAACUCUUCAGCUGCUAGAUCUCAAAGGAUUUCAAAGCUCGUGUAAUUCAAGGCCCUCAUUUUGCAGAUGAAGAAAUCAACACCCAAAGAAGCAGGGAGAUUGUUCAGGGAAGAAGCUAGAAGUGGAACUAAGGAUCUCACUCUCCAGUUCAGUGUGCCCAUUGCAAGGCUGAAGAAAGCUGGGUAAACGCAUCUGUAAGAGGAAGGGUGACAAAAUGAGGCAGGUAGGACAGGGAGCCACAGUAGACUCUAGGGUCCCUCAGAAAUACUGCAGGCAGGUCAUUUCUGCAGCCCCUUCCAAGUCCGCUCUUUCACACCCUGAAAGCUGAUCCAGAUAAAGAAAUCCUGACCCUCUUUGGCUUCCCAUAAGAUGUACCUGCGCAGAAGAUGGCUAUCCAGUGUUGUUCUGUCUCGUUCCUCCAGCCGGCCUCCAUCAGUGAGCCCUGGAGUCCAAGACGCCCCCUUCAGGGUCACCCCAAGGCCCUCAACACCUCUGGCAAGAGCAUUGUAGACAAAGGAAUAUACACUCUUUGAGGUUGGGUGUGGAUCCAGCACACGGUGCACAGACGGGCUGCCCAGACUCUCUUACCCACCCAGUGUUCCUCGUUAAAUCCAAGCUCCUGAGCCAAGACUGUGGAGGAAACUGACAGCCCUCUUACUCCUCCUCUUCACCCACUUUUUUUUCUUUUUUUCAGCCGAACCUGCAGCACAUGGAAGUUCCCAGCUAGGGGUCAAAUCAGAGCUACAGCUGCAGGCCUACAUCACAGCCACAGCAACAAUGGACCCAAACUGCUUAUACAACCUACGCUGCACCUCCCACGAACACCGGAUCCUUAACCUACUGAGUGAGGCCAGGGAUCGAACACGCAUCAUCACAGAGAUGAUGCCAGGUCCUUAAUCCACUGAGCCACAGUAAGAACUCGCUCUCCACCCAUUUUAAGCAUUCCACAUUGCAUCUACUGACCCCAAGAAAUACUCUAGUUCUAGUUGAAUUUUCAUAAAAGGCUCCAGAGUGCAGUUUCUGACAUUGGAACAGAGAGUGUUUUUAGGAUGGAUUUUUUUUUUAACUCUUUUCCCACAAGAUGAGAUACGGGGAUCACAACUCAAUCUCUGUGCCCUACCCCGCCCCCGCCCAAUCAUGAAGACAAGUAGAAAGAGCGUUUGUGGGCUCCUAAAGCUAGUGCUCCCUUGGAGGUUAGCAGAGUUGAGGAUUUGUUACUUGAUCUAACAGCAAUGGCUUUCCAAUAGCCAGACACACUCGGCAGCAUUGAUCAGGGGGCCCGCUCCUUGUUUGCCUUGGAACACUGCUCAAUUUACACCAAUUAAAGAAUGCUUGGUUUGGGUAUUGAAGAAUCAUUAAGGGAUGCAAAUCCCCAAGGGCUUCUAAAAAUGACAUCUGACGAGAACGGUGAUUAAAGCAUGAAGGCGGCAUUAGUAUUUGAACAGUUUGACUGAUAUACAAAAUCAUUACAACGUCUCUCCAGGAAGAGUGACAUUAGGUCAAUGUAUGUACUUGCCUGGUCACCCUAAACAAAUCUGACAAGUCUAAUUUUAAGUAAUUGCUCAGAGUUUAGUGGCCGCCUCUGUCCCCACAAGGGCAGCUGUCUGGACCACAUCUUGUAAUUGAGAUGUGUCUUUAAACUCUAUGUGUCAACCCAACAUGCAAAUGAGCUCUCAGCAAAGGUUAAGGGUUACUGAUGUUCCAGCGAAUCAUUUUCCAGUCAAAUUUCCAUAGGAAAACGUGACGGUAGCCAGGAGUUAGCUCAUCAGCCAUUCAACCUCAUUCUGGGUGGGAAAUGUUGGAUUUUUCUAGCAGCAUCAGACUCUCUGGUUCAUCUAGAAACCAUCUUGAAGUGUGUUCUCUGGGCCAGCAGCAUUAGCAACAUCUGGAAACUUGUUAGAAAUGCAGAGUCCUGGGAGUUCUCUUGCUGUAGCGCAGCCGGUUAAGAAUCCAGCAUUGUCACUGCAAUGGCUGGGGUCCCUGCUGUGGUGCAGGUGUGAUCCCAGGCCUAGGAACUUCCACAUGCUGCAGGCUUAGCAGAAAGAAAGAAAGAGGGAGGGAGAGCGCUUAAAAGAGAGGAAGGAAGGAAGGAAAGAGAGCCCUGUCCCACCUCCCCCAAGCUGCUGAAUCAGACUUCAGGGCUGAGGUCCUGCAAUUAAUGCUUUAAUAAGCCCUCCCCUGAUCUAAAGCCCACUCAGGGAGUUCCCGUUGGGGCUCAACAGGACCUGACACCAUGCCUGUGAGGAUGCGGCUUCAAUCCCUGGGCUCGCUCUGUAUGUUAACAAUCUGGCUUUGCCGCAAGCUGCAUUUUAGGCCGCAGACGUGGCUCUGAUCUGUGGCAUAAGCCAGUAGCUGCAGUUCCAAUUCAACCGCUGGCCGGGGAACUUUCAUAUGCCACAGGUGAGGCCCUAAAAAGAAAAAAAAAAAAAA